GAUGAACGCUGGCGGCGUGCUUAACACAUGCAAGUCGAGCGAACCACUUCGGUGGUGAGCGGCGAACGGGUGAGUAACACGUAGGUGAUCUGCCCAUCAGACGGGGACAACGAUUGGAAACGAUCGCUAAUACCGGAUAGGACGAAAGUUUAAAGGUGCCUCUGGCACCGCUGAUGGAUGAGCCUGCGGCGCAUUAGCUAGUUGGUAGGGUAAAGGCCUACCAAGGCGACGAUGCGUAGCCGACCUGAGAGGGUGAACGGCCACACUGGGACUGAGACACGGCCCAGACUCCUACGGGAGGCAGCAGUAGGGAAUCUUCGGCAAUGGGCGAAAGCCUGACCGAGCAACGCCGCGUGAAUGAUGAAGGCCUUCGGGUUGUAAAAUUCUGUUAUAAGGGAAGAACGACUUUAGUAGGAAAUGGCUAGAGUGUGACGGUACCUUAUGAGAAAGCCACGGCUAACUACGUGCCAGCCGCCGCGGUAA
rnacentral:rRNA from 1 species